GAUGAACGCUAGCGGCAGGCCUAAUACAUGCAAGUCGAGGGGUAAAUAUGUAGCAAUAUAUAUGAGACCGGCGCACGGGUGCGUAACACGUAUGCAACCUACCUUUUACUGGGGAAUAGCUCAGAGAAAUCUGAAUUAAUACCCCAUAACACUGCAGAAUGGCAUCAUUUUGCCUUUAAAGCUCCGGCGGUAAAAGCUGGGCAUGUGGAACAUUAGCUAGUUGGUGAGGUAAUGGCUCACCAAGGCUACGAUGUUUAGGGGGUCUGAGAGUAUGAUCCCCCACACUGGUACUGAGACACGGACCAGACUCCUACGGGAGGCAGCAGUAGGGAAGAUUGGGAAAUGGACGAAAGUCUGACCCAGCCAUGCCGCGUGCAGGAUGAAUGUCCUAUGGAUUGUAAACUGCUUUUAUAUGGGAAGAAACCCCUGGAUGCGUCCGGGGCUGACGGAACCAUUUGAAUAAGGAUCGGCUAACUUCGUGCCAGCAGCCGCCGUAAGAC
rnacentral:rRNA from 1 species